rnacentral:rRNA from 1 species
GACAGAGGUCUCGAGCGUUAGGCGGAAUCACUGGGCUUAAAGCGUGUGUAGGUGGAUGCCUAAGUACCUUGUGAAAUCCCACGGCUUAACCGUGGAACUGCUUGGUAUACUGGGUGUCUUGAGCCAGCUAGGGGCUACCGGAACAAAUGGUGGAGCGGUGAAAUGCGUAGAUAUCAUUUGGAACACCAAUGGUGAAAACAGGUAGCUGGGGCUGUGCUGACACUGAGACACGAAAGCCAGGGGAGCAAACGGG